UCAUAAAACUGUGGCUGGUUGACAUUAAUGUAACGUUCAGGAAACUUAAAUGUGAUUAAAACAGUAACGUUAAUGUUCUAGUUGUCAGUAAUCAGCUUUAAUUUGACACUAAAACAGACUCUGAUAGUUUUAAAUGACAUCAGUUUCAUUAAUUUGCUGAAAAUUGUCUCAUUUGUUGUUGUGAUGUUGCUGCUGAUUCAUUAAAAGCAGAUGAUCCGUGUUGAAGAUACAUUUAGUUCUAGUAUCAGAAGUACAAGAAGGAAAAUGGAAGUUUAGUUCUGCUACGUCAAAGAUUUAAGGAAUAAAAUAACUAAAUGAGUCUUUAUGCCUCAAACUUUAUUUCACAAUAAAGAAAUAAUGAAAUAAUCACAGAUAAUAAAAAUAUAAAUAGCAGAGAAAACCUAAGAAUAAUUUCCUGAAAACUCUGUGAAGGAAAAGCAGCUUUUUAUCCUGAAAGAUCAGAAUCAGCUCCAACAUCUGCAUCUGACAGCAUCAAGUCAACCAGAAAGAAAAGAAAAAAGAAAAUGACUUCUUUCUGAUCACAUCUGUUCCGCUGCUCACAGUCUGCUGCUGCUCACAUUCUUCACAUUUAUAGUCCACUUUUAAAAGUUCAGCAGACAGGUGCUCUGCUUUGGAGUGUGAUGAUGUCAUCGGUGAUGUAGAGAGUGAAGUUUCCGUUUCACCCACAGCAUGCUUUAGGGCAGCCGGGUCGGACUUGAUGUUUGAAAUACUGACCGACAGCUCAGAUUUAACUGUCUGUAGUUCCGUUUUGAUGGGUGUUAAACUUUCACUCAAAGCCGCCAGGAGCUGGGUCUUUAAAAUAACUGCCGUCUCGUUACAGAGUGAAAGUAGCAGUUCCUCCUUAAAGUGAGAGAUUGCAGCAUCUGAGGGCCUCUUCAAAAGAAGACGUAGUUGAUGAAGGCGUUCUGGAACAGGACCAGAAAGACCACGACCAAGCAGCCUUGAGAUCUUAGGCAGCGUCUCCCUGAGGUCCCUCUCUAUCUCCCCACACAUCCACCAACCACUGGAACACAUCUCCAAAGUUCUGCCGGGCCAGCUCAGCUUCCCCUCAGAAGAAGUUCCACCACCUGCCAGAUGAAGGAGCCUUUUGAGAGGCAGCUGGCAUCGUGAUUGGACUGUACUUUGGUCUGUUCCAAUCCAGCUUCAGCUCCAGAGACGGCAGGCGAGACGAGUCAACGGAGGCCGGGUGGACGAAGGCAUGCAGCUGAGUACAAUCCAGAAAACAACAGAGGAGGAGUGCAGCGGCCCAGAGCCAGAACAAACAGAGUAGCAUCGUAUGUCUCUUAGAAAACAUCAUAGUAUAGCCUUUGGUAUGAAAAAACGCCAUCAUAUACAUCGUAUAUUGUACAAAUAACAGGUCAAAGGAAAGAGACAUACAUUGUAGAAUUGUAGUAAUUGUGGGCUGACUGAUUUACUGAUUAUCAGUAUUUUAUUUUUUACUGAUUUACGGUAAUAAAUACAUUUAAAA